GUCAAGUCAGCAUGCCUUUAUGUCCUGGGCUACACACACGCUACAAUGGUCAGCACAAUGGUCGCUAAGCCGCAAGGUGGAGCCAAUCCUCAAAGUUGGCCUCAGUUCAGAUUGUAGGCGUGCAACUACCGCCUGCAUGAAGAUGGAGUUGCUAGUAAACGCAGGUCAGCUAUACUGCGUUGAAUACGUUCCCGGGGCUU
rnacentral:rRNA from 1 species